CAAGUACUCCCCCUGUCCUGAAUUACUUGUCGUAUAAAUGAAUGUAUCGAGACCUAUUUUUAGUUCUGCAUACAUCCAUUUCUAUCCAUUUUUGUGACAAAGUAAUUUGGGAUGGAGGGAGUACAUU
rfam:Triticum aestivum genome assembly, contig: Triticum_aestivum_CS42_TGACv1_scaffold_392538_5AS